rnacentral:sRNA from 1 species
GCUUUCUGCGACCUGAAGAGGAUGAGAACCUCCGGGGGCAGGGAGGUUCGACUCGAGCGAAGCGAGAGAACGUUGCGUCAGCAACGGCCCGCAGGGCGAGCCACGAAGUGGCGAGUAAUCCUCUAUCACCGACCA